ACUCCAAAACCUUUUUGAGCUGAAAGACUUUGGUGCGUAGAAAGGUUUCCUGGAAAACCUAAAAUGCAGACACCCGACGAUGUUCGAAAUCUUCCCCAUCGACAUGACAUCACCUUCUCUCGCCUCGUCGAAUGGUUUGGUGGAUGGGAGGAAGGUGGCAGCGAUCAGAGUCAAAAUCUUGAAAGAGUUCUCAUCUUUGCUUAAAGACAUUGAAGUGAUUAGUUACUUGGAGGCCAAAAAGAUCUUUGAUUUCUUGGGAUGUCAGUGUUGAAGCCACCUGUGGUAGAAGAAAAUAGCUGAUUCAGCUUUGCUAGAAACAGGCCAGGAGAACCAGACACAGUUGAGAGGUUCCACAACUCUAGUCUUAGGUAGUGGAGAUAGAAUAUAGGAACAAGAUCCUUGAUGAUAUUUAUGAGGUUAAGGCAUUUUUGAACCAGCGUUUGAUAGAACUGAGAAACGAAGAUACUGUCCUUGCAACACCAUGCGCAAACAGUUGCCCCCUUGGUUCUUCAGCAGUAUUCUCCUGAAUCAUCGAGCCAGUGGUGGUUGAUAUCUACCUGGCCAUCUCAUUGCUAACAAACAGGAUAUCUCGGGAUCUGAAUUCUCAACUCCAAAAGAGAUGCCUAGAUAGACUUGUUUCGGAGCUGGAGGAGAAGAAACACCGUGAAGCGAAGUUAAGAGAGAGCUUGAAAGAUCACAGUAUUCAUUCUCUUCAAUAUGGCCAAAACAGUAAAAAAAAAAGUGUAUGAAGAAGAGACACAGAAAAAUUGUCAGUUGGAGAGGUGGGUGAAGGUAGGUGAGGAGGGGAAACGUGUGCGUGUUGAGUAGAAAGAUUUACUAAAAGGGUCCACCUCUGUCUUGUCUGCUACACUGCUUGCUGCUUCCUUGUUCUGUUUCUGUAUCAAUCCAGUGAGUGCUUCCACUAUUUCUGAAACCUCUGG